rnacentral:rRNA from 1 species
AUUCCAGCUCCAAUAGCGUAUAUUAAAGUUGUUGCAGUUAAAAAGCUCGUAGUUGGAUUUGUGGUGGUGCCUGCGGUCCAAAAUGUUUUGGUGCUGUGUGGCACUGCCAUCCUUGGGUGGAACCUGUGGGGCAUUAGGUUGUUUUGCAGGGGAUGCCCAUCGUUUACUGUGAAAAAAUUAGAGUGUUCAAAGCAGGCUUACGCCGUUGAAUAUAUUAGCAUGGAAUAAUGAGAUAGGACUCUGGUGCUAUUUUGUUGGUUUGCGCACCGAAGUAAUGAUUAAUAGGGACAGUUGGGGGUAUUCGUAUUCCAUUGUCAGAGGUGAAAUUCUUGGAUUUCUGGAAGACGAACUACUGCGAAAGCAUUUACCAAGGAUGUUUUC